CUUUCCCUCUUUCUUCCUGCCUUACACAUGCAAGUCGAACGGCAUCGCGGGAAAGCUUGCUUUCCUGGCGGCGAGUGGCGAACGGGUGAGUAACACAUCGGAACGUACCGGCUAGUGGGGGAUAACCCGUCGAAAGACGGGCUAAUAACGCAUACGCUCUUCGGAGGAAAGCAGGGGACCUUUGGGCCUUGCGCUAGCCGAGCGGCCGAUGUCCGAUUAGCUAGUUGGUGGGGUAAAGGCCUACCAAGGCGACGAUCGGUAGCGGGUCUGAGAGGACGAUCCGCCACACUGGGACUGAGACACGGCCCAGACUCCUACGGGAGGCAGCAGUGGGGAAUCUUGGACAAUGGGGGCAACCCUGAUCCAGCAAUGCCGCGUGGGUGAAGAAGGCCUUCGGGUUGUAAAGCCCUUUCGGCAGGGAAGAAAUCGGCGGGGCGAAUAACCCUGCUGGAUGACGGUACCUGCAGAAGAAGCACCGGCUAACUACGUG
rnacentral:rRNA from 1 species